UGGGGAAUAUUGGACAAUGGGGGCAACCCUGAUCCAGCAAUGCCGCGUGUGUGAAGAAGGUUUUCGGAUUGUAAAGCACUUUCGGCGGGGACGAUGAUGACGGUACCCGCAGAAGAAGCCCCGGCUAACUUCGUGCCAGCAGCCGCGGUAAUACGAAGGGGGCUAGCGUUGCUCGGAAUGACUGGGCGUAAAGGGCGUGUAGGCGGUUUGUACAGUCAGAUGUGAAAUCCCCGGGCUUAACCUGGGAGCUGCAUUUGAUACGUGCAGACUAGAGUGUGAGAGAGGGUUGUGGAAUUCCCAGUGUAGAGGUGAAAUUCGUAGAUAUUGGGAAGAACACCGGUGGCGAAGGCGGCAACCUGGCUCAUGACUGACGCUGAGGCGCGA
rnacentral:rRNA from 1 species